GACAGAGGGUGCAACCGUUGUUCGGAAUUACUGGGCGUAAAGGGCGCGUAGGCGGUUUCGUAAGUCCCGUGUGAAAGCCCCCGGCUCAACUGGGGAAUUGCACGGGAAACUGCGAGGCUUGAGUUCGGGAGAGGGAAGCGGAAUUCCGGGUGUAGCGGUGAAAUGCGUAGAUAUCCGGAGGAACACCGGUGGCGAAGGCGGCAUUCUGGACCACAACUGACACUGAGAGACGAAAGCCAGGGGAGCAAACGGG
rnacentral:rRNA from 1 species